rnacentral:rRNA from 1 species
UACAGAGGUCUCAAGCGUUGUUCGGAUUCAUUGGGCGUAAAGCGCACGUAGGCGGAUCGUUAAGUCGGGGGUGAAAUCCUGGAGCUCAACUCCAGAACUGCCUUCGAUACUGGCGAUCUUGAGUCCGGAAGAGGUGAGUGGAACUCCUAGUGUAGAGGUGGAAUUCGUAGAUAUUAGGAAGAACACCAGUGGCGAAGGCGGCUCACUGGUCCGGUACUGACGCUGAGGUGCGAAAGCGUGGGGAGCAAACAGG